CGUACACGGGAAUACGAAGGGGGCUAGCGUUGCUCGGAAUUACUGGGCGUAAAGCGUGCGCAGGCGGUCCGCUAAGACAGAUGUGAAAUCCCGGGCUUAACCUGGGAACUGCAUUUGUGACUGGCGGGCUAGAGUAUGGCAGAGGGGGGUAGAAUUCCACGUGUAGCAGUGAAAUGCGUAGAGAUGUGGAGGAAUACCGAUGGCGAAGGCAGCCCCCUGGGCCAAUACUGACGCUCAUGCACGAAUGCGCGGGGAGCAAACAGGAUUGGAUACCCCAGUAGUCCCUGUCUCUUAUACACAU
rnacentral:rRNA from 1 species